UACGUAGGGUGCGAGCGUUAAUCGGAAUUACUGGGCGUAAAGCGUGCGCAGGCGGUUCGUUGUGUCGGUGGUGAAAUCCCCGGGCUUAACCUGGGAAUGGCCAUGGAAACUGGCGAACUGGAGUGCGGCAGAGGGGGGUGGAAUUCCGCGUGUAGCAGUGAAAUGCGUAGAGAUGCGGAGGAACACCGAUGGCGAAGGCAGCCCCCUGGGCUAGCACUGACGCUCAGGCACGAAAGCGUGGGGAGCAAACUGG
rnacentral:rRNA from 1 species